AGGUGUUUUAGCCCUAACCCUAACCACGUUUUAACCCUAAAUCAGGUGUUUUAGCCCUAACCCUAACCAUGUUUUAACCCUAAAUCAGGUGUUUUAGCCCUAACCCUAACCAUGUUUUAACCCUAAAUCAGGUGUUUUAGCCCUAACCAUGUUUUAACCCUAAAUCAGGUGUUUUAGCCCUAACCCUAACCAUGUUUUAACCCUAAAUCAGGUGUUUUAGCCCUAACC